rnacentral:rRNA from 1 species
CAGUCGCCGCGGUAAUACGAAGGGGGCUAGCGUUGCUCGGAAUGACUGGGCGUAAAGGGCGCGUAGGCGGCGGCCAAAGUCAGGCGUGAAAUUCCCGGGCUCAACCUGGGGGCUGCGUUUGAUACUUGGUUGCUUGAGUGGGGAAGAGGGUCGUGGAAUUCCCAGUGUAGAGGUGAAAUUCGUAGAUAUUGGGAAGAACACCGGUGGCGAAGGCGGCGACCUGGUCCUUUACUGACGCUGAGGCGCGAAAGCGUGGGGAGCAAACAGGAUUAGAUACCCCAGUAGUCCCUGUCUCUUAUAA